CGGACGGGUGAGUAACACGUGGAUAACCUACCUAUAAGACUGGGAUAACUUCGGGAAACCGGAGCUAAUACCGGAUAAUAUAUUGAACCGCAUGGUUCAAUAGUGAAAGACGGUUUUGCUGUCACUUAUAGAUGGAUCCGCGCCGCAUUAGCUAGUUGUGAGGUAACGGCUUACCAAGGCAACGAUGCGUAGCCGACCUGAGAGGGUGAUCGGCCACACUGGAACUGAGACACGGUCCAG
rnacentral:rRNA from 1 species